CAGCCGCCGCGGUAAUACGGAGGGUGCAAGCGUUAAUCGGAAUUACUGGGCGUAAAGCGCACGCAGGCGGUCUGUCAAGUCAGAUGUGAAAUCCCCGGGCUUAACCUGGGAACUGCAUUUGAAACUGGCAGGCUAGAGUCUUGUAGAGGGGGGUAGAAUUCCAGGUGUAGCGGUGAAAUGCGUAGAGAUCUGGAGGAAUACCGGUGGCGAAGGCGGCCCCCUGGACAAAGACUGACGCUCAGGUGCGAAAGCGUGGGGAGCAAACAGGAUUAGAUACCCGGGUAGUCCCUGUCUCUUAUAA
rnacentral:rRNA from 1 species